rnacentral:rRNA from 1 species
AGCGAACGCUGGCGGCAGGCUUAACACAUGCAAGUCGAGCGGGCAUCCUUGUGGUGUCAGCGGCAGACGGGUGAGUAACGCGUGGGAACGUGCCCUUCGGUUCGGAAUAACUCAGGGAAACUUGAGCUAAUACCGGAUACGUGCGAGAGCAGAAAGGUUUAUCUGCCGAAGGAUCGGCCCGCGUCUGAUUAGCUAGUUGGUGAGGUUAUGGCUCACCAAGGCGACGAUCAGUAGCUGGUCUGAGAGGAUGAUCAGCCACACUGGGACUGAGACACGGCCCAGACUCCUACGGGAGGCAGCAGUGGGGAAUAUUGGACAAUGGGGGCAACCCUGAUCCAGCCAUGCCGCGUGAGUGAUGACGGCCGUAGGGUUGUAAAGCUCUUUUCUCCGGGACGAUAAUGACGGUACCGGAGGAAUAAGCCCCGGCUAACUUCGUG